AAAAAAAAAAAAAAAAAUGGUCAUCAGUAUUCCCCGAGAAAUAUCUAAAAUGGUGUAGACUAUAGCUCAGCAUACCCAUGGUGUAACCUAAAUGUAUAUUACAAUCUAGACUAAUCAUUAGCCUUAACUUAUUCUCGCACCAAAACAAAAAUGGCACCUAAAGUAUCCCAACUGUCAAUAUACACCCACCGAAAGCAGCUUCCCACCAAAAUAGUAUUAAACAAUCUUUUCUGCAUAAAAACAACAACAAUUCAAUAGGACCAUCAAAUUCCAGAUUCUGAUAAAAAAAUCUCCUGUUUUCUAAAAAUCUCAAAACAAUUUCAAUAUCACAAUAUUUUCCUUAAAGUGCAAAAUCUAUACAUAUUGGUGCUACGUAUACUGUAUUCUCAGUGGAUAAACUAGUAUUACAAUUCUUUCUCAAUAAACAAAUUAAUCAAUUUUUACAUUUUAUCAAUCACAAAAAAAUCACACAAGUUUCAUAUC
rnacentral:lncRNA from 1 species